rnacentral:rRNA from 1 species
CGGACGGGUGAGUAACGCGUGGAAAACCUGCCGUAUACUGGGGGAUAACACUUAGAAAUAGGUGCUAAUACCGCAUAAGCGCACAGCUUCGCAUGAAGUGGUGUGAAAAACUCUGGUGGUAUACGAUGGUUCCGCGUCUGAUUAGCUUGUUGGCGGGGUAACGGCCCACCAAGGCGACGAUCAGUAGCCGGCCUGAGAGGGCGGACGGCCACAUUGGGACUGAGACACGGCCCAGACUCCUACGGAAGGCAGCAG